rnacentral:rRNA from 1 species
UACGUAGGGUGCAAGCGUUGUCCGGAAUUAUUGGGCGUAAAGGGCUCGUAGGCGGUCUGUCACGUCGGGAGUGAAAACUCGGGGCUUAACCCCGAGCCUGCUUCCGAUACGGGCAGACUAGAGGUAUGCAGGGAGAAUGGAAUUCCUGGUGUAGCGGUGAAAUGCGCAGAUAUCAGGAGGAACACCGGUGGCGAAGGCGGUUCUCUGGGCAUUACCUGACGCUGAGGAGCGAAAGUGUGGGGAGCGAACAGG